rnacentral:rRNA from 1 species
ACGCUCGACACCUACGGGGNGAGCAGUGGGGGAUAUUGCGCAAUGGGGGAAACCCUGACGCAGCAACGCCGCGUGAAGGACGAAGGUUUUCGGAUUGUAAACUUCUUUUGUUAGGGACGAAGAAAUGACGGUACCUGACGAAUAAGCUCCGGCUAACUACGUGCCAGCAGCCGCGGUAAUCUGAGCGGGCUGGCAAGGC